rnacentral:tRNA from 1 species
UGCGAGGUGGAUGGUUAAGGCGAUGGACUGCUAAUCCAUUGUGCUCUGCACGCGUGGGUUCGAAUCCCAUCCUCGUCG